UACGUAGGGUGCAAGCGUUGUCCGGAAUUAUUGGGCGUAAAGAGCUCGUAGGCGGUGUGUCGCGUCGGCCGUGAAAACCUGCAGCUUAACUGUGGGCUUGCGGUCGAUACGGGCAUCACUGGAGUUCGGCAGGGGAGACUGGAAUUCCUGGUGUAGCGGUGAAAUGCGCAGAUAUCAGGAGGAACACCGGUGGCGAAGGCGGGUCUCUGGGCAUGUCCUGACGCUGAGGAGCGAAAGUGUGGGGAGCGAACAGG
rnacentral:rRNA from 1 species